UCCAGCCAAAGCCUUUCAUACUUCAAUGGAGGGGAAGGCUAAUCAAUGCGGUAGCAAACAACCCGGAGCCGUACAACACCAGCUGCUUUCAGUACCGAGACAGGAAUAAAAAGGACCGAGCUUGGAGGAAGAUAUGUGAAGAGAUCGGGCAACCUGGCCCACAGAGGAGGACGGCUCCGAGGCAGAUGAGGGACGGGUCCCAGGACGGUCCAUCGGCGGUGGAGCUGGCCAUCGUGGAGUCCCUGAAGAGGCCACACCAGUCUCCAAUGGAGCAUUUCCUCCUCAGCCUUGUUCCUGCUCUGGAGAGCAGCUGGUCCUUUUUAUUCCUGUC
ensembl:lncRNA